CUGCAGCUCAAGUGGUGGCCGCUAUUAUUGGGCCUAAAACGUCCGUAGCCUGUUUAGUAAAUGCUUGGGUAAAUCGUGUAGCUUAACUAUACGAAUACCGGGUAGACUGCUAGACUUGGGACCGGGAGAGGCUAGAGGUACUCCUGGGGUAGAGGUGAAAUUCUGUAAUCCUAGGGGGACCACCAGUGGCGAAGGCGUCUAGCUAGAACGGGUCUGACGGUGAGGGACGAAGCCCUGGGGCGCGAACCGGAUUAGAUACCCGAGUAGUCC
rnacentral:rRNA from 1 species